UACAGAGGUCCCAAGCGUUGUUCGGAUUCACUGGGCGUAAAGGGUGCGUAGGCGGUCGGGUAAGUCUGAUGUGAAAUCUCACAGCUUAACUGUGAAACUGCAUUGGAUACUAUUCGGCUUGAGAGUUGGAGGGGGGACUGGAAUUCUUGGUGUAGCAGUGAAAUGCGUAGAUAUCAAGAGGAACACCAGUGGCGAAGGCAGCUCGCUGGGACGGUACUGACGCUGAGACGCGAAAGCGUGGGGAGCAAACAGG
rnacentral:rRNA from 1 species